AUUACCACGUGACCUUGACGUCGAGCCCGCGCCGACCGGCCUGAAUCCUUGGGCUUCCGCGGGAUCCUGGUGGUGGUUUAGCCGCUUUACGUUCCGGUUUUGUGCCGUUGGCGGUCUUCUCUGCAGACUCCCUGGGCCUUGCCUCCGACUUCACCAUGUACCACAACAGUAGCCAGAAGCGGCACUGGACUUUUGCUAGUGAGGAGCAGCUGGCGCGAUUGCGGGCCGACGCCAACCGCAAAUUCAAAUGCAAAGCUGUGGCGAACGGGAAGGUUCUUCCAAAUGACCCAGUCUUUCUUGAGCCUCCUGAAGAAAUGACGCUCUGCAAGUAUUAUGAGAAAAGAUUAUUGGAAUUCUGUUCGGUGUUUAAGCCAGCAAUGCCAAGGUCUGUUGUGGGUACAGCUUGUAUGUAUUUCAAGCGCUUUUAUCUUAAUAACUCAGUAAUGGAAUAUCACCCGCGGAUAAUAAUGCUCACUUGUGCAUUUUUGGCCUGUAAAGUGGAUGAAUUCAAUGUGUCUAGUCCACAGUUUGUUGGAAAUCUGCGGGAGAGUCCUCUUGGACAAGAGAAGGCACUCGAACAGAUUUUGGAAUAUGAACUACUACUUAUACAGCAACUUAAUUUCCACCUUAUUGUCCACAAUCCUUAUAGACCCUUUGAGGGCUUUCUCAUUGAUUUAAAGACUCGCUAUCCCAUGUUGGAGAAUCCAGAGAUUUUGAGGAAAACAGCUGAUGACUUUCUUAAUAGAGUUGCACUGACGGAUGCUCACCUGUUAUACACACCUUCCCAGAUUGCUCUGACUGCCAUUUUAUCUAGUGCAUCCAGAGCAGGAAUUACUAUGGAAAGUUAUUUAUCAGAAAGUCUGAUGCUAAAAGAGAACAGAACUUGCUUGUCACAGUUACUAGAUAUAAUGAAAAGUAUGAGGAACUUGGUAAAAAAAUAUGAACCACCCAGACCUGAAGAAGUUGCUGUUCUGAAACAGAAGUUGGAGAGAUGUCACUCUGCUGAGCUUGCACUUAACGUAAUUACGAAAAAGAGGAAAGGUUAUGAAGAUGAUGAUUAUGUCUCAAAGAAAUCCAAACAUGAGGAGGUAUGUUCUCCAAAGGAAGAAUGGACUGACGAUGACCUGGUAGAUUCCCUCUAACCAUCCGAAAUUGAUUUGUCAAUGCUAACUAAUCAACAGAAGGAUGAAGCAUAUCUGGCAUUUAACUUUAAAAAUGAAGUCACUAAAGUUUGGCGUCAGAGCAAUCUCUGAAAAUUUUCCUACCCAGCCCCUUUAAAAAAAAUGUUUAGAGGUUUCAUUUCAUCAUUGACCAGCUAAAAGUUACUCCAAGGCCUACAAAGGUAAAUGACAAGUUUCCUAUUCCAGCUUAAGAGAUAAUAAGCAUGUCAUUAAAAUUUUAAAAAGCAGAGUGUCUUUAGGUUUGUGGGUUUUUUUAGAAAUAAAAGGCAGGAGAAGCAGUUCAGAUUGAGAAAUGGCAGGUCAGCAUGGUUAAAACUGAGAUGUGAGUAGUGGGAGAGAACAAAUUGCUGAGCACUAGAAUCUAGACCUUUUUGCAUAUUGCUGAAAUGUUUUCGGAGAUGUCCAUAUCCCUUUUAGUGUAUCCUGGAAGGAGACCAAAUGGCAUACUAUUGUCUAACUGAAAAGCAGAGGGGAAAAUAUGGAAUUGGGUUGACAUCAAGAAAAAGCACCUGGUGUGUUUGUUUGUGUUUUGCUAUCACUGUUCAACUGUGAUCGCAGCUACUUCAGGGCUAGCUACCUCUAUAUAAAUAACAGCAUUUAAUACUUGCAGCUUACUGAGGGUUCACAAAAUUUCUGCAUAGUAUAGUUUUAACACUUUGUUUCUUCCUGUAUUUUAAGCAUUAAAGUGUUGCUCUUAGAACCUAGGCCUUUAGAAAAUUUUUUUUUUAGUGGGGAAAUGCUUUACCCAGUACAUCCCUGUCUGGCUCGCCUUGUAUGCCGUCCCUACCCUGCACAGUUAGUUAUGGGAGGGAAAGAAUCGUUAACAAAUACAUAAUGGAAUCCUUCAAAAGAGACCAUCAGCCAGAAAAACAUCUCAAGUUUCAUCUCCCUGGGCCUUGCUCUGGUACUAAAUUUGAACUGCCCCUAAAAGGAGGAAGAAAAUAAUGAAAUUAAAUGUUUAGCUAUAUUUAGACAGAAGUAAUCAGAUAUUUAUGAUAUCCCUUGGUUUUAUUUUAACUUAACCCUUGUGAAUACUUCACAAAAAUACACAUACAGAAGCACAUAAAACUAUACAGUCAAACUAAAUAUCCAGCAGAUACAACAAGUAGUCAGAAGGGCAAAGAUGGAUAGCUGUUCAGUGGCUGAUGAAAUUGUUUGCAUAAUUUAAAAAAUCAACUUGGAAUUAAUGAAUACUUUCAAUGAAAGCAUUCUAGGGUUUUUAAACAUAUAUAAAAGAAAUCGGUAAUCUAUAAAACAGUUGAAUGGGUAACAUGCGUUGAUCAGUACACAGUGACCAAUAAUAUUUAUUGAAUUCAAACUAUUUACUGUUGUAAACAUUUAACAAAAAAGCAUUAUGAGAUCUAAAUACAGUCUUUGACAAUUCGAACAAAAUAAGUGGUAUGUUUAAAAAAUAAAGCUGAUGAGCAAUAGAUCCAUUCUAUAUAUUUUCUUUCAACAGUUCCAGCAAAGAGAAAUAGCAGUUAUUUUAAAAAAGUAUACAGCAAAGAUUGUUCCUAUUGUAAUGGUAAACUCUGGAAACUGUAAAUACAAAUAAAGUCAUUGAACAGUCAAACGGUCAUAUUCCUAAUUCAGGAAGAAGUAACAGUAAGAGCAGUCUGCAGUCCAGUUAUACUCAAUUGUCAACAGAGAAUGCUUUCUUCCAUAGUUCUGUUUCCAAGAGACAGCAAAACUUUGGCAAUUGAAUGUAUUGAAAAUAUAUUUUCCAAGUUCAAGAUACAGUCAUAGCAUUGUGUGAAAGGUGAUCUGUACACCAAGGCUCAGAGGUUGGUAAAGAUUCCAUAUGUGGAAAAAGUGCAAAUAUCCUGCACAGAUAGCUUACAAAGCUGCUGGCGCAGUUACUCACCAGCAGAAUCUCGAGUUUUGUUUGCAUAGUUCACACAUCACUGGAAUGUGGGAAGGUGUGCUAUUUUUUGGCAAGAGCAAAGGAGACAUUAUACUGAUGUGAAUUACCAUGUUGGGCAUGCUGAAUCCAUGCAGAACACUGCGGCGAAGGCUGCUACCUGACAUCAUUAGUUUUUGUAUACUGGUUUUGUUUUUGCUGAAGCAGCUCUGUUAUAGCCAGAAGCUUUUUCAGUACGUGCUAGACAAGGAAAAACAGUAUGAAAAUAAUUAGUAAAUAAAUGAAAGCUUGAUCAAAUCUCAGGGAUGGGAACCUGGAUUUGAAAAAAGCCAUAUAAAUGCAAAGGAAUAAAUAAAAUAUUAUUACCAUUCUACUCAAAAACAUAAAAUUGUAAGUAUGUAUCAUUCAGCCCUUGACUAGGUCAUAUUAUUUUGGUCGAAAUAGAAGAGAAUUUUUGUACACUAAACAGAAACUCGUUUGCGUUUGGCAUUUCAUACCUACUUAGGCCAGAACACUCUCUAGAAUAGAACACCUUACAGAAGAAAGAUUUAUCAUUAUAAAUGACACAUCUUAAGCCCUAUAGGAGCACAUGAGGGCAGUCAGGUUACAGCCUAAUAAUUCUCCAAUAAGAUUUUUUUUUAAUACUUAAAGCAAGUCAGUGUGGCAAGAAGGCAUUGUACAUGCCAAGGGCAUAUAAGGGGGUCCAUGGCACAUAUUCUGCAUAAGUUUCUCAAGUGACUGGAACCUAAAUGAUCCAUGCUGUUAUCUAAACUCGAAAAACCUUGAGAAUUUUAGAAUCUCAGAUUGAGAACUCAGAAUCACCACUCUCAAUGUGUUAAUCUCUUCUAUAAGGUCCUUGCCAAAUGGUUGGCCACUGUGGUGACGGGUCUUAGAAACUGCCAUUUUUGAUAAGCUCUUCUAAGGCCACACUAAACAAUCUCUGGAUCUGGAGCUUAAAAUAUUUACCAAUCUUCCUGAAUAAUUCUCGUGUGUUUGACAGUUUGAAAAGUACUUGGCCAGGCACCAUGUGUAUGACAGAAGAGACAGAAAAAGCCACAUCACUACUGACAUCAGUAGCUCACUUACCAUUUUCAUACAUGCCACUGAAGUGCAUGAACACCACUUUUCAGUAGAGUUCACAUUAACUUAAAAGCAAGAUUUGACAUUUUGCAGUAUGAAAAAUAUGUAAUCUUAGUCUGGGCUCAUUAUUCCUGUUUGCUGAGAUCUUUGUGGAUUAUGAUUCAGAUUCUCAAAAACAAUAUAAUAAGACUAAUUCAGCUAUUUAUCACCUCCCAAAGAAUCCUAUGUUGACAUUCUGCUUAAGUGUGAGGAACAUCAUUGUUAAAAAAGGUUGGCAAAAACCUACCUGCUGUGCACCACGCUCAUUACUGAGCGUUCGCAGUUCAUCUGAAUGGGCCACACAAAUCUCAUGCAAUGCUGCUAAAUCACGGGAAAGGUCAGUUCUAGAAUGCUCUGUAGUGUCCGGAAGUUCAGGUACAUUC